rnacentral:tRNA from 1 species
UAGAAUUGAGUGUGGUAGGUAGCACGAAGAUUUUUGAGUUCUUAGGGUUAGGUUCAAUUCCUAUAAUUCUAG